GGGGCUAUAGCUCAGUGGUAGAGCAUUUGCCUGGCAUGCACAAGGCCCUAGGUUCAAUCCCUGGUACCA
rnacentral:tRNA from 1 species